rnacentral:lncRNA from 1 species
AUUUUUUUCCUCUUUCACAAAUUAUUUUCAAAUAUUUUUUUCUAUAAAAGCAAACGAGCAUCAGUGUGUGAAAAUUAAUGAAUAUGUAUGAAACAUUGUAAAUAUUUAUUAGAAAAUGAGGAAAAGAGAGAGGGAGCGUAAAACGCUGGCAUUUGUUUUUGUUUAUGUGCUCUGUUGUAAAUAUAAAUCUCCGUCGCAGUCUCAUUCUCCCUUUCUCUCUCCUCCGUUGCCGAUCUCUGCAACUUGUCUCAGCUGGGUUUUCAUCAAUAUCCAUUCUUCUGCCAUCUGGGUCUCUCGAAGAAUUUCCAUUUUUUUGAAUUUCUUGAUCCACCCACCUGAUCUGUAGGUAAAUGAGUCACAUACGCAAACUCUCUGUCUAUAUCUAUAGAUGUGUAUAUUAUACACACACACACGAAUAUUGUUUUUUUU